UGGCUAGUGUGGCUCAGUAGACUGAGUGCCAGCCUGUGAACCAAAGGGUCACUAGUUCAGUUCCCACUCAGUGUACAUGCCUGGGUUGCAGGCCAGGUCCCCAGUAGGGUGCACACGAGAGGCAACCACACAUUGAUGUUUCUCUCCCUCUCUUUCUUCCCCCUUCCCCUCUCU